rnacentral:rRNA from 1 species
AGUGAACGCUGGCGGUAGGCCUAACACAUGCAAGUCGAACGGUAGCACAGGAGAGCUUGCUCUCUGGGUGGCGAGUGGCGGACGGGUGAGGAAUACAUCGGAAUCUACUCUGUCGUGGGGGAUAACGUAGGGAAACUUACGCUAAUACCGCAUACGACCUACGGGUGAAAGCAGGGGAUCUUCGGACCUUGCGCGAUUGAAUGAGCCGAUGUCGGAUUAGCUAGUUGGCGGGGUAAAGGCCCACCAAGGCGACGAUCCGUAGCUGGUCUGAUAGGAUGAUCAGCAACACUGGAACUGAGACACGGGCCAGACUCCUACGGGAGGCGGCAGUGGGGAAUAUUGGACAAUGGGCGCAAGCCUGAUCCAGCCAUACCGCGUGGGUGAAGAAGGCCUUCGGGUUGUAAAGCCCUUUUGUUGGGAAAGAAAUCCAGCUGGCUAAUACCCGGUUGGGAUGACGGUACCCAAAGAAUAAGCACCGGCUAACUUCGUGCCAGCAGCCGCAGUAA